rnacentral:lncRNA from 1 species
CAGAGAAACAAAAGGAUUUCUUAUAUGCCAAGAGCAUCAAAUCCAAGUCCCAACUCCUUCCACUUUAUUCCAUGAAUUCCUUCGUCUCUAUCAAAAGCUUCACAUAAUUUCCUCUAUGCUCCUGCCAAGCUAAUAGGUGAAAAGCUAUAGGAUGGAACGUGGGAAGUAGUAAAAUGCAAGUUUUGGCCGGUCGGAUGGGAGUAUCAAAUCCUGCUGCGAAGAUGUCCAGUGUAUUCCUCGGCCUUGACUUACCUUUAGGAGAGCAAAAGGCCUAAGAUAUAGCGAGAUGAACCCGUGUGAAUGAGCGUGAGCUUCUAUACUCAUUUCAUCGCAACAAUACUCACAUAAAGGGUAAUUACCUUAGACCCUCGGGCUCAAUGAAAAAUAGUCCAAAUAAGCUAAAGAUCAACAACAACAUACCCAGUAUAGUGUGCUUCGGGGAGGUAAGAGUGUAUGCAAACCUUACCUUACCUCUACCUCUACCCCAGAGGAGGAGAGCAAACUGGUUUCCAAUAGAUGAAAAAUAAAAUUAACUCAAAAGUCAAUUACAAGAAGGGGAGCCUUGGAGUAACCGGUAAAGUUGCUGCCAUGUGGCCAGGAGGUGACGGGUUCAAUCAUACUUUUCCUUAGCAUGUAUAUUUAAAGACACUGUUCCAACCUUUUUUUUUAAAGUAAGUUGUGGUACAAAAUUAUAAAUUGAAGAAUUAGUACAAGCCAUUUAUCUAAAAGGCA